GAUGAACGCUGGCGGCGUGCCUAAUACAUGCAAGUCGAGCGAAUGGAUUAAGAGCUUGCUCUUAUGAAGUUAGCGGCGGACGGGUGAGUAACACGUGGGUAACCUGCCCAUAAGACUGGGAUAACUCCGGGAAACCGGGGCUAAUACCGGAUAACAUUUUGAACCGCAUGGUUCGAAAUUGAAAGGCGGCUUCGGCUGUCACUUACGGAUGGAUCCACGUCGCAUUAGCUAGAUGGUGAGGUAACGGCUCACCAAGGCAACGAUGCGUAGCCGACCUGAGAGGGUGAUCGGCCACACUGGGACUGAGACACGGCCCAGACUCCUACGGGAGGCAGCAGUAGGGAAUCUUCCGCAAUGGACGAAAGUCUGACGGAGCAACGCCGCGUGAGUGAUGAAGGCUUUCGGGUCGUAAAACCCUGUUGUUAGGGAAGAACAAGUGCUAGUUGAAUAAGCUGACACCUUGACGGUACCUAACCAGAAAGCCACGGCUAACUACGUGCCAGCCGCCGCGGUAA
rnacentral:rRNA from 1 species